rnacentral:rRNA from 1 species
GAUGAACGCUAGCGGCAGGCUUAAUACAUGCAAGUCGAGGGACAGCACAGGUAGCAAUACUGGGUGGUAACCGGCAAACGGGUGCGGAACACGUACACAACCUUCCUUUAAGUGGGGGAUAGCCCAGAGAAAUUUGGAUUAAUACCCCGUAAUAUAGUUGAAUGGCAUCAUUUGAUUAUUAUAGCUACGGCGCUUAAUGAUGGGUGUGCGGAUGAGUAGAGAGUUGGCGGGGUAACGGCCCACCAAGUCUACGAUCAUUUGCUGAUGUAAGAGCAUGAUCAGCCACACGGGAACUGAGACACGGGCCCGACUCCUACGGGAGGAAGCAGUAAGGAAUAUUGGUCGAUGGACGCAAGUCUGAACCAGCCAUGCCGCGUGAAGGAUUAAGGUCCUCUGGAUUGUAAACUUCUUUUAUUUGGGACGAAAAAGGGCCUUUCUAGGUCAACUGACGGUACCAGAUGAAUAAGCACCGGCUAACUCCGUGCCAGCCGCCGCAGUAAUAC